GACGAACGCUGGCGGCGUGCCUAAUACAUGCAAGUCGAACGCUGAAGGAGGAGCUUGCUUCUCUGGAUGAGUUGCGAACGGGUGAGUAACGCGUAGGUAACCUGCCUGGUAGCGGGGGAUAACUAUUGGAAACGAUAGCUAAUACCGCAUAAUAGUAGAUGUUGCAUGACAUUUGCCUAAAAGGUGCAAUUGCAUCACUACCAGAUGGACCUGCGUUGUAUUAGCUAGUUGGUGGGGUAACGGCUCACCAAGGCGACGAUACAUAGCCGACCUGAGAGGGUGAUCGGCCACACUGGGACUGAGACACGGCCCAGACUCCUACGGGAGGCAGCAGUAGGGAAUCUUCGGCAAUGGACGGAAGUCUGACCGAGCAACACCGCGUGAGUGAAGAAGGUUUUCGGAUCGUAAAGCUCUGUUGUAAGAGAAGAACGAGUGUGAGAGUGGAAAGUUCACACUGUGACGGUAGCUUACCAGAAAGGGACGGCUAACUACGUG
rnacentral:rRNA from 1 species